GUGGUUAAGCGGCAAACCCAGGCAGCAAGGCAAAGCUGUCUGAAGUCUGCAGCCAGGAGCAAACAGGAAACAAAUUAGUUCAAUCCUAGAAUGUAAACCAGCGUUCACAGAGAUGCAUGGAAAAGCCAUGCCAAGAAAGCAUGCAGCAAUUUCUCAUCUUGUUAACUGAGGAAUCAAUGCCCUGGGGCGCAGGCUGUGGGGGAGACACUGCUGUGUGAAACAUGUAGGCCUAGAACCAGGGAUGCCACUAGAAGUUCUCAAACAUACCAGAUGCUAUGCUCAACUCUGGGAGAGGGAAUGUGCCCUCAGAUGCAUCUGAUGUUGGGGUGCCUGGAAGUCCUGCAUUAGAGCUCAGUGAGGCAAUGCAGCAUUUCAGGGCUUGCAUGCAGAGAGUUCAUGCUAUGAAUCUGUGACUAGUAGUGCUGAAGACGCAGGUUGGCUGUGGUGUAGCCUGCUUCUUCAUACUUGGCCCUGGAGCCUAGACCAGCAUAUAGCCAGAGCUGGGCUAUUAAAUGAAAGGCAUAGGUAAAUUCCUUCAUGGAAUCUUUCCUUGUUCAUUCAUCUGUUCAUGACCACCCAAUCAUCAGUGCAAGCAGGUACUGAUCUAAGUGCUAGGUUACAGUAAUAAAGCAGUACUUUAUUUAAAUUUAAUUAAAGUACUUUUAACAUCACAUAGCCAUAUACCUUUACCAAGACCAUUUAUAGUCCACUGAUA